CGCACCGGCUCGCGCCGCACCCCGGGCGGGAGGAAGUAGCGCUCGUGCCGCGUCUGGCACAGCAGCCGCCCGGGGUCGGGGUCGUGGCCAUCCAGCACCUCCAGCUCCACGGCCAAGGGCGUUCGCACGUCGCGCUUCACCAGCCGCACCAAAGGUUUCUCGGGCUCCAAGGCCCAGAGCAGCCCCAUGGGCUCAAGCCCCGCGAAGCUGCCGCCCAGCGCGGGCGCGCGCUCCAGGUCCAGCUCGCCAAGAGUGUCGGCGCGGUAGCGCGCGUGGGCCUGGAAAAGCGCGCCCUUCUCGUCGCGCAGGGACGCGCGCAGCGUGACCGGCUGCUCCGGGGCUAGGCCGCGCACGGCGAUUCGCACCGGUUCGUCCCAGCAGCAGCGGCCCGCAGGCUCCAGGAUCAGCGUCGCCGCCAUCCGAGCAGGAACCCUAAUGAUCUGACCAACCUGCCUCAGCUGUGGAGACCCCAGGAACUGCGCCGAACUCUUCAGGCUCCAUUGGUACAGCCGGGACGCUCGAAGGACAGCAGGAGAUGAGGCCAUUUUGAAUUCAGACCUGAGAACAACUGAAUGGGGGUGGGGAGAAAGAAGCUUGUUAGACAUCCUCUCGGGCUGCCGUCGCAGGCUAAGCGCCCACUAGGGCAGAGCUGUCUGCUAACGUGAGCGGGGAAGGCCAGAGUCCAGCCGAUCAGCCAGACCAAAUAUAGACACACUGGAACUUGCUUAAAGUCUCCUGUGUUGAAACCUCCACUUUAUGUUGGAAAGCUACUUCCUAGGUUUGCUUUUCAGAAGCUUGCUGGCCUGCGGAAUGGGCUGGACCAGGGCUGGUUCUUAAAGAACCAGGCAGCUAGCAGUCUCCAGGCUCCAAACUCCUGAUGGCGAAGAGGAAUGCAGAGCUGGAGUUAGUUUUGAUCACUUUGUUGAAUAAUUCACACUCAUUACUAAUCUUAGGGCUUUUCUUUCAAAAUCUGCACCAUGGUGUUUUGCUUUUGUGUUCUCUGUAUAUGCCUAUCCUCCACAUCAAUCCCACAUCGAAGGGUGCUGGCUUCUUACUAGCUGUGUGACCUCUGAGCUUCAUUCCUUACAAGUGUAAAAAUAGCCAAAUGGGGUAAUAGGUAGUAAUUUCUCAAACUCCUGACUUUGUAAUCCGCCCGCCUCAGCCUCCCAAAAUGCUAGGAUUUACAGGCAUGAGCCACCGCGCCCGGCUAAUAGUUAUUAUUUUGUUUUACUGGUUUCUCAAUUAUUGUCCCAGUCAGGCAAGGGUUACUUUUUUUUUUUGAGAGACAGGGUCUCACUACAUUGCCAGACUGGAGUACAGCGGCAGUUUACCAUCACUGCACUUACAAACCUCCAACUCCUGGUGCUCAAGCCAUCUUCCUGACUCAGCCUCUCAAAUACCUCAAAGGACUACCGGAGCUCCCCAUGCAUCGCGCUUUUUUCUACUUUUUCGUAAGCUAUUGGUUUCACCAGAGGUGUGGUGUUUUUUUUUUUCAUCACUUAAGCUUUAGGCCCCUGCCAAGCCCUUGUACCUGAUUUUAUAAUUUCCUACCUGUGUAAUUAGAGAAAGCUAUAAAUGUGUAGGCUUCAAACCCACAAAACCUGUGUUUGCCUCUGCUCCUAAUAAGGCUGUCCUCAAGGUAAGCCUUUUUAUCUCGUUCCAAAUCUCUCAUGUCCCACGUCAUUAAUCAUACAAUUCCCUGUCAGUUCUAAUUACCUUUGUAUAACACCUCAAGUAUGUUCUGUGCCUAGAACUCUCAGGAAGUAAGAAGGCAAAUAAUUCUGUGUCUGGAAUUGGUUCCUUCUGGUGGAUUCUUGGUCUCGCUGACAUCAAGAAUGAAGCCGCAGACCCUCGCAGUGACUGUUACAGUUCUUAAUACAGUUCUGAAAAGUAGUGUGUCUGGAGUUUGUUUCCUCUGAUGUUCAGAUGCGUCCGGAAUGUGUUCCUUCUGGUGGGUUCAUGGUCUCGCUUCUCACCGACUUCAAGAGUAAAGCCACAGACCUUCAAGGUGAGUGUUACAGCUCAUAAAGGCAGCAGGUCCAGAGUUGUUUUUCUUGUUCCUCUCAGUGGGUUCAUGGUCUUGGCUUCAGGAGUGAAGCUGUAUACCUUCACGGUGUUACAGCUCUGAAAUGCAGUAUGGACCCAAAGAAGGAGCAGUAGCAAGGUUUAUUGUGAAGUACAAAAGAACAAAGCUUCCAUCAGCCUGGAGCGGAACUCACGCAGGUUACCACUACUAGCUGGGGUGACCAGCUUUUAUUCCCUUAUUUGGCCCUGCUCAUGUCCUGCUGAUUGGUCCAUUUUACAGAGCGCUGAUUUUCCAUUUUACAGAGUGCUGAUUGGUUCGUUUUACAAAGUGCUGAUUGGUUCGUUUUUACCCAGUGCUGAUUGGUGCGUUUACAAACCUUUAGCUAGACACAGAGUGCUGAUUGGUGCAUUUACAAUCCUUUAGCUAGACAAAAAAGUUCUCCAAGUCCCCACCCAACCCAGAAGCCCAGCGGUCUUCACCUCUCAAUAGUAGCUAAUGGUUAAUACUUACAAGAACCCUAUCAGUAAAUUAAGGCCCAGAGAAUUUAACUGAUUUUCUGAAGAUCACACAGCUAGAAAGUGGAAGUUGGGCAAGAUGGCUCACGCCUGUAAUCCCAGUUUACUUGGAGGCUGAGGUGGCAGGGUUGCUUAAGGCCAGGAGUUUCGCACCAACCUGGACAACAUAGCAAGACCCUGUCUCUAAA
rnacentral:lncRNA from 1 species